UACGUAGGGGGCAAGCGUUGUCCGGAUUUACUGGGCGUAAAGGGCGCGUAGGCGGUCGUGACAAGUCACUUGUGAAAUCUCCGGGCUUAACUCGGAACGGUCAAGUGAUACUGUCGGACUAGAGUACAGAAGGGGCAACUGGAAUUCUCGGUGUAGCGGUGAAAUGCGUAGAUAUCGAGAGGAACACCUGCGGCGAAGGCGGGUUGCUGGGCUGAUACUGACGCUGAGGCGCGAAAGCCAGGGGAGCGAACGGG
rnacentral:rRNA from 1 species